ACGAACGCUGGCGGCGUGGAUAAGACAUGCAAGUCGAACGGGAGAAUUGCUAGCUUGCUAAUAAUUCUCUAGUGGCGCACGGGUGAGUAACACGUGAGUAACCUGCCUCUUAGUGGGGGAUAGCCCUGGGAAACCGGGAUUAAUACCGCAUACGAUUGAAAGAUCAAAGCAGCAAUGCGCUAGGAGAUGGGCUCGCGGCCUAUUAGUUAGUUGGUGAGGUAACGGCUCACCAAGGCGAUGACGGGUAGCCGGUCUGAGAGGAUGUCCGGCCACACUGGAACUGAGACACGGUCCAGACACCUACGGGUGGCAGCAGUCGAGAAUCAUUCACAAUGGGGGCAACCCUGAUGGUGCGACGCCGCGUGGGGGAAUGAAGGUCUUCGGAUUGUAAACCCCUGUCAUGUGGGAGCAAAUUAAAAAGAUAGUACCACAAGAGGAAGAGACGGCUAACUCUGUGCCAGCAGCCGCGGUAAUACAGAGGUCUCAAGCGUUGUUCGGAAUCACUGGGCGUAAAGCGUGCGUAGGCUGUUUCGUAAGUCGUGUGUGAAAGGCAGGGGCUCAACCCCUGGAUUGCACAUGAUACUGCGAGACUAGAGUAAUGGAGGGGGAACCGGAAUUCUCGGUGUAGCAGUGAAAUGCGUAGAUAUCGAGAGGAACACUCGUGGCGAAGGCGGGUUCCUGGACAUUAACUGACGCUGAGGCACGAAGGCCAGGGGAGCGAAAGGGAUUAGAUACCCCUGUAGUCCUGGCAGUAAACGGUGCACGCUUGGUGUGCGGGGAAUCGACCCCCUGCGUGCCGGAGCUAACGCGUUAAGCGUGCCGCCUGGGGAGUACAGUCGCAAGAUUAAAACUCAAAGAAAUUGACGGGGACCCGCACAAGCGGUGGAGUAUGUGGCUUAAUUCGAUGCAACGCGAAGAACCUUACCUGGGCUUGACAUGUAAUGAACAACAUGUGAAAGCAUGCGACUCUUCGGAGGCGUUACACAGGUGCUGCAUGGCCGUCGUCAGCUCGUGUCGUGAGAUGUUUGGUUAAGUCCAGCAACGAGCGCAACCCCUGUUGCCAGUUACCAGCACGUCAAGGUGGGGACUCUGGCGAGACUGCCCAGAUCAACUGGGAGGAAGGUGGGGACGACGUCAGGUCAGUAUGGCCCUUAUGCCCAGGGCUGCACACGUACUACAAUGCCCAGUACAGAGGGGGCCGAAGCCGCGAGGCGGAGGAAAUCCUGAAAACUGGGCCCAGUUCGGACUGUAGGCUGCAACCCGCCUACACGAAGCCGGAAUCGCUAGUAAUGGCGCAUCAGCUACGGCGCCGUGAAUACGUUCCCGGGUCUUGUACACACCGCCCGUCACAUCAUGGAAGCCGGUCGCACCCGAAGUAUCUGAAGCCAACCGCAAGGAGGCAGGGUCCUAAGGUGAGACUGGUAACUGGGAUG
rnacentral:rRNA from 1 species